CUAAUACCUGGCACUUCUUUUCUGCCUCAGUGCCUGUCUCUGACAACUUUACUUGUAAGCAGUAUUUUAGAAUCUAUUUUAAAAUUAGAUUAGUAAUUAAGAAGCAAGAAAAUGAAAUUGUUUAAUAUAAUCUGGGGUCAAACCACUACCUUGUUCUUAUUUUCUCCUUAGGCACACUGCUUUUGUUGGUAAUGGAAAACUAAUGGCUGUAAGGGCCAAAUAUGACUCCUAGGUUCGGAGAGAAUAGAAAGAAAAGUCUUCACUUAAAGCACACAGCGAAGAAGAAGCAGACUCCAAGGAGCAUCUACUGCACAUGUGAGACAGAAAGAUCCAGACAUGUUGUUGAGUAUGCUGGGGCUCCAGGAAAAGGAAAGAGAAGGUAUGCGGAUGGUUCACAAGGAAGAGGAAAGUCUAGGAGGAGCAGAGUUCUUGAAAUGGGGAAAGAAAGACCCUUAGUUGAAAGAAAAAGGAAGUGAAGUGGACAGGACUUGGUACUGAGCCAUCCUUACAUGGGAAGGAAGCUCCCACCCACCGGGGCAUCCUGCUGUUCCCAGGCUUAUAUUGUAUCCUGGAGCAGAAAGUGGGGAACUUGUUCAUCUUGUAUGGGGACAGAGCCAUAGAGGGAAAACGCAUACCUACUGACCAAGAUGGAACCAAAGAGGAUCAGAU
rnacentral:lncRNA from 1 species